rnacentral:rRNA from 1 species
GAUGAACGCUGACAGAAUGCUUAACACAUGCAAGUCGACUCGAGUCUUCGGACUUGGGUGGCGCACGGGUGAGUAACGCGUAAAGAACUUGCCUCUUAGACCGGGACAACAUCUGGAAACGGAUGCUAAUACCGGAUAUGAACCAUCUUUAGUGUGGUGGUUGGAAAGUUUUUUCGGUGUAGGAUGAGCUCGCGGCCUAUCAGCUUGUUGGUGGGGUAAUGGCCUACCAAGGCGGCGACGGGUAGCCGGCCUGAGAGGGUGCACGGCCACAUUGGGACUGAGAUACGGCCCAG